AGAUCCAACCGCAAACGCAAAAAAUUCGAUUCGAAUUUCGAGUCUUUGCGUGCCGAUGAUCUCAAUGAUUAACUUAUCGCGUUGCAAAGAACGCAAGAAAAAUUCUUGUUUGUACUUAUACAAUUAUGCAAUACGGUUAGAUAACGAACCGCCGACGACACGCUCGUUGCGAUGAGUUAGCGAUUUAUCGCAGAAUUUGUUAGUUAUCGAUCGUUAAUGUAUCUGUAAAUUCAUUUAAACCAUCUGUGAGCGUGCGAAGCAUUGAUUGAUGAUCGUUGUCGUGGUGUUCUCCAGAUCUCUUAUACGCAGUAUGGAUUACUCUGACAGGAACUUUUAUCAAGAUAUAAUAACGUUUUGCUUGUGAAAACAAAGUUUUAAUUUAAAUAACAAAAGUGCAAGUAUCGAUACGUAUAUUAAUAUUUUUCUGAUGUCUGUACUAGAUAAGACAGUACAUAUAUAUCUGUACUAGAUAAGAUAUAUAGUACAUAUAUAUCACUCUAACUUAAUCCGUUAAACCAAGCUGAUGCAACCUGUAAGAAGCAAAAAUAAUACAAAGUGC